AAACCUGUAUCAUGUUGUUUGUCUUCCUUUCUUCUAGAUUUUGAAGGCCAUGGGACAGGCAAAGACUUCAUCUGCAGCAGUGAAUCUCCUCAUAGAUAUUGGGUAUUUUCCUGUACAUGUAAAUCUCGAUUUGUUAAAGUUGAACCUCCCUACUGAUCAUCGGGAUGAGAUUCUGUCGGCCGCAGAGAAUCUUUUGUCUACAUCGACUGACCUUGAUGAGGUAUUGUUGCCUUUAAGAUUUCUACUUGUGACAUCAACGUAUGUAUCUAUAUUUUUGCCAUUCUGGCCAUACUAUUUUGCCUCUGGACUGGGGUGUUACAGAUUGAGUGUGGAUUCCUCUGAGUCUAGCUUUUUAUUGCAUUUUGUAAAAUUCCAAAUUCUUCUUAUUUCAUGUUUCUUUUGUACUUUUGGUGGAAGCAAAAGUUCCAUUUUUUAUUCGUCUCUUUGCCUAUCUGUCAACAGCAAAGGUGUUACAUGCUGAUUAAAAAGUUUGUGUGCGCGCACAGAUACACAGGGGGGGGGGGGGGGGGGGGGAUGUGACCACAACAACAUCCCCAGUCGAUUUGUUAAAGUUGAACCUCCCUACUGAUCAUCGGGAUGAGAUUCUGUCGGCCGCAGAGAAUCUUUUGUCUACAUCGACUGACCUUGAUGAGGUAUUGUUGCCUUUAAGAUUUCUACUUGUGACAUCAACGUAUGUAUCUAUAUUUUUGCCAUUCUGGCCAUACUAUUUUGCCUCUGGACUGGGGUGUUACAGAUUGAGUGUG
rnacentral:lncRNA from 1 species